CAGGUGGAGUUCCAUCCCUGGCCCGCGGUCCGCAUAAUCGAUAACUCCAUCGAUACAAAACAGCUGCUUUACAACGGAAAAACUCAUCACUAAUAAGAAAACAAACAAAAAGGUAAUAGCCUUUUUUGCUGCACUCAAUUUUUUUUACGUUUCGCACCGACGAACGUAACAUUCGACCUGAACGGAAAAAAAAACAAAAAAAAAAAAAAACCGAGGUUUUUGGUGCAGUGGGAAUAGGCUAUUAAUAUACAGCUACCGCGCAAUUUUAAAUUGCGCUGAACAAAAGGAAUUACAAACAAGUAAGAAAGUUACAGUCGAGAAUAUUACAAAAAUACUACAAAUAUACCAAAUUGUAUAUAUGGUAUAUCGAAAUAGUACCACAUUCAAAAUAGACCAUAGACAGAUUGUCGGCCAAAGCUACUAAAACCUAUAUUACGCUUGUUACUCGAUUUUUUUUAUUUGCGGGGGCGGAGGUGGGCGUGGUAAAAAUUUGAAACAAACUUGAUCUGCGUGCGAACAUAUACAAUGCUGUCGAAAAUUAUAGCUCUAUCUCUAAUAGUCUCUGUGAUCCAGUGUUUCAUACGGACAGACACACAGACGGACAUGGCUAGAUCGUCUCGGCUAUUGAUGCUGAUCAAGAAUAUAUAUACUUUAUACAUACAUUUCCUGCUGGAACAAAUUAUAAUACCCUUCUACCCUAUGGGUAGCGGGUAUAAAAACUAUUGACGACGCUGGACCCUGGCGUAACCACCCUACUUGAGAUGGCCACAUCGGCGCCAUCUCCCUUGCGUUGGCCGCUACAGCAGUGGCUGCUCCUCAUCUGGCGUAGUGCUGUGGAAUUCCCCAUCCCAAGAAACGAUCAUGUUCACCGUCGCAAAUGACAAACAAAGAACAAAAUAGCGCAAAAGGAACGAGGCGAAGCAAUAUAGCCACAACGGCGUAAAGGACAAUUUCUUUUAUAUGUUACGCAUUUGGGAGAUUAGUAUAUAUUCAUUUAUUAAUUUAUAUACGCAUGUUUGUGUAUAUGUACAUAUAUAUAUAUGUUUACGUCGCUUAAUUCUCUACCUUGACCUACCUAAGAGCUCUUGGGCUUGGUUAAGGGGUGAGGUAAUAGAAGAUAUAUGUAUAUAUAUGAAUUUGUAAAUAUCAAUAUGUAAAUCUCGCCGCGAGUAAAUUUGUAGGUUUGUAUGUAUGUCGUCCCUACUCUUGCUUUAAUAUUCUUUAAUUGCUUUUAACUUUUAAUUUCUUUUCUUUUCAACCAAUUUAAUAUCUUUUUUUUUUGGUUUUACACAAACAUCUUUUGGUUGCUUUGUCUCAUUCUAUAAUAGUUUAUUACUCUAAUCAUAGUAAAAAUUAUAAAUAAAUGAGUAGUAAUUGACCAAAGCGAGAAAGUCAAUAAAUGAAUAAAGGUCUCAAAAACUCCGGAAUAAGCAGCGAAUGUAAUGUCA